rnacentral:lncRNA from 1 species
UGGGUAACAAAAUUCGGACGGAAGGACAAAUAGAGGAACGAACGCACGCACGAAAAGACAGACGGACUUCCCGGCACUAUAUACAUACAACCUGCUUUAAAAAGCGGAAGUAAAUUAAUAUCUUAUAAAAUCUAACAGUAUCUGAAAGUACUUUAACACAGAAUUAACCACCAAGUCAUCAUAUAUUCGAAUAUCAGUCGACGUACUUCCGAU